CGCAACUUGCGCCUUUUGGUAUUCCGAAAGGCAUGCCUGUCUGAGUGUCAUGUAGCCUCAACCCCCUCGGUUUCUUGACCGCAGGGCGGUUGGACGUGGGCGUCUGCCGCUAGCCGCGGCUCGCCUGAAAAGAGUCAGUGGGAUGGCCCCCAGGUCUGGCGUAAUAAGUUUCGCCGCGCCUGCCGUGCCCGCCCGCUCACAACCCCCAACCUUUUGACAUUUGACCUCAGAUCAGGUAGGACUACCCGCUGAACUUAA
rnacentral:misc_RNA from 1 species